AGCAGUAGCCACGGUAAUACGUAGGUCCCGAGCGUUGUCCGGAUUUAUUGGGCGUAAAGGGAGCGCAGGCGGUUUAGUAAGUCUGAAGUUAAAGGCAUUGGCUCAACCAAUGUAUGCUUUGGAAACUGUUAGACUUGAGUGCAGAAGGGGAGAGUGGAAUUCCAUGUGUAGCGGUGAAAUGCGUAGAUAUAUGGAGGAACACCGGUGGCGAAAGCGGCUCCCUGGUCUGUCACUGACGCUGAGGCUCGAAAGCGUGGGUAGCGAACAGGAUUAGAUACCCCAGUAGUCCCUGUCUCUUAUACA
rnacentral:rRNA from 1 species